CGGGGUUCUGCAUCUCCUCGGUGACGUAAUUCAGGGUGUCCCACCCUGCGUAGGAGAAGAGGGCUGAGUACAGAGCCAGCGCAAUCAUUCCUGGGUCUGUUGCUGAGCCCUCAAAGGGAGCUCUGAGGUUUUCUGUUUCUCCUUUACCAAUUUUGUAAAGGCCAACAGAUAUCACCACGACAAGGGCCACAAGUUUUGCAUAUGUGAAAAUAUCUUGUACACGAG
rnacentral:lncRNA from 1 species